UUACAUACCUUCUCUAUUUUUCUGGUAACUGUUAUUUGACUUGGGAUUUGAAAAUGUGUAUAAAGAUAUUUGACUCGGACUUCUCCCUUCUAGUAUAGAGGAAAUACCCACAGUGCAGCGGAGAUACAAAGAUGUUUAGUACUGGGGCAUAUGGUUGCACCGACAGUGUUUUCGCUACAUAUAGGAUGAGGUUUGUGGGAAGUCGAUACAGUCGAUUCGGUUUCUUGUCAACAGUUGACUCAUUCACAAGUUUUCUGCUAUUUGAUGUUUGCAGACAGGCCUAUAAUUCAUAGAGGUGCGAAGUCUAGCAACAUUUUACUCACUGAUAGCUUUCGCGCUAAGGUUAACUAUUCCGAAAUUUCUCGAUUCGGUCCCUGGCGAGAAGGUGCUACAAUUGUUACUACGAGAAUUAUGGGGACCGUAGGGUAUCUGGACCCAGAGUAUUUUGCAACGUGUGAACUGAACGUGGAAAUUGAUGUAUACUCUUUUGGGAUAUUGCUGCUCGAGCUUUUCAGAGGGAGGCGCCGUUUUGAGCUGGGAUGAGCUACGCCUAGAGAGAUGGGCUUUCAUAGAAUAUUUGGCGGGAAGGCUGAGGGAUAUUAUUGAUCCAAAGCUUCAGUUAACAGCUGCCCCUUAGUUGAUUUUGGAGCGCGUAUUUGAGCUUGCAUUUUCAUGUUUAGCACCUACGAAAGUUGAUCGCCCUAACAUAAGAGAGGCCAAGGAGAUGUUAUGGAGCAUCAGAGAAGAUAUCAACUGAGUGUAGAUCGACAACAGGAAGGUUUAGAGGCAGAGUCAGAAUAUGGUGUCUCUUAGAACAAUGGCAGCCAUACUCCCCGGGGGAGGUCGUCGCUAUCAUGGUACUCUCAUGGAGAUUCCGAGAGUAUGAAGGCUCGGACAAGCAGGCGCCCAGAGGAUAAUCACAGAGGUUACUUGACCUGAGAAAUAUUUGAGAACCAACUGAAUACAGGACUACGAGGAUGAGGAGAGUCAGGUCAACAAAGAGGUCAUGGGACAUUGCGAGGAUCCUCCUGGGGAAUAGGGGGCGUUAAAUGGUGGCUACGUUUCAUCUUAUAUUCUCAAUCGCUUCAUAUCCCCUGUCAGAGAUAUUCUGUGAACGAAAAUCGUUUACGGCGACCACAGAAGGUCAUGGCUCUCGGGGGCGACGGUUUGUGCCUCUGGGAGGGCUCAGACCCUUAACGCUUCAUGAAUUUGAAAAUAUCAACCUUGAGCUGUACAUCUUUUGAUCUCUUAAGUAUCAUGUUAACUAAAUUGAUUGUCAUUGUUAACAAAGUAAGUCGGUCGCAUCUAUUGAAACUACUUUCUUUCCAUGGUUGGAAGUUAUGGUGCAUUAUAAGUUUUUUCCUGCUGUUGCAGGGUGACAGGGUGAGAAUUCGUUGAAGGAGGUUCACCGUCAGGGUUCAGGCCAAUUUUUCUUCUGAUACUCUUGAGACUCAGAUUCGUGCAGACGUUGGUAAGGAGUGAGCCUGUUCUGCUUGAAAAGACUGCCUCAUUUUAUUCGAUGAGAUUUGGCUGGAGUGUCGGCAUUCAAAGCUGAGGUCCAGUCAGUUUGACAAGGUGACGGCAUAUCAGGAGUUACUGAUAUUGCUUUCAGAUUCAUGUACUGUAGGGUAUCGAAUAGUUUAUGAGGAGCUCAAAUUGACCAAAAGAUGUUUCCAAUGCUGUUUCAUGUGCGUCUCUGAGGCCCGAGUUUGUGCACAGAAGCCGAAGUGGUAAUAUAGUUUUUCUCUUUUGUGCAAUAUA